rnacentral:rRNA from 1 species
GCGGGGAGCGGCGAACGGCUGAGUAACACGUUGGUAACUGCCCCAGACUCAGGGAUAACAUUUAGAAAUAAAUGCUAAUACCGGAUAGUCCCGCAAGGGUAAAGCUUUUGCGGUCUGGGAGGUGCCUGCGGCCUAUCAGCUUGUUGGUGAGGUAAAAGCUCACCAAGGCUUUGACGGGUAGCUGGUCUGAGAGGAUGAUCAGCCAGAAUGGAACUGAGACACGGUCCAU